rnacentral:rRNA from 1 species
UGGCAUUGGUGUGAGGGUUUGACCGGCUCGAUUAAACCCGGCGGAUACAGUUACCAACAUGCAAGCUGGACCGGCAAAGCACGGACUGUCAUGGCGCGGCGAACGAAGAGAAAUAACGGAACGCACACCAUAGUGGAUAACUCAUGCGAAGCGUAAUGGGUCAAUCAAACAGCCUUUCGGUGGCCUUCAGCCCUUGCACUAUGAGCAACUGAUACGAUUACCAAUGGUGGUAACGCCCUGUGGCGAUUGACCGCACCGGUCUGAGAGGAUUUGACUAUACGACUGGGAUCUGAGAUCACUUGCCCAGACUCCACGGAGGCAGUGGUAGAAUUUUAGACAAUGGGAACCCUGAUCCAGUACCUGCAAGGCGAUGAAGGCUUUCGGUUGUAAAGCACUUUUACGCAGGAAGGAAACGGCACGAUACUGGUCCAGGCACUGACACGUGGCUUGCAUCAGCACCGAGCUAAACUACGUGCCAGCAGCCAUGAGUAUCACGAAGGCAGCGGUUAAUCGAACUAUUGAGCAAAGCAGCAGGUAGUGGAAGGGUUCGAAGAAAGAUAAAAUCGCAGAUGAACUUAAACUGCAUUUUAAUUUGCCGAAGAAUAGGAGUGUGUCAGAGGGAAGUAAAUUCAUGUAGCAGUAAUGCAGAUGCAGGGAAUUACCGAUGGCGAAGCGCAGCCUCCUGGGAUAACACUGACGCUCAUGCACGAAAGCGUGGGAGCAAACAGGAUUAGAUACCCCUGGUAGUCCACGCCCUAAACGAUGUCAACUAGCUGUUGGGGCCUUCGGGCCUUGGUAGCGCAGCUAACGCGUGAAGUUGACCGCCUGGGGAGUACGGUCGCAAGAUUAAAACUCAAAGGAAUUGACGGGGACCCGCACAAGCGGUGAUACGUGGAUUAAUUCCGAUGCAACGCGAAAAACCUUACCUACCCUUGACAUGUCUGGAAUCCCGAAGAGAUUUGGGAGUGCUCGCAAGAGAACCGGAACACAGGUGCUGCAUGGCUGUCGUCAGCUCGUCGAGAUAUUGGGUUAAGUCCCGCAACGAGCGCAACCCUUGUCAUUAGUUGCUACGAAAGGGCACUCCACGAGACUGCCGGUGACAAACCGGAGGAAGGUGGGGAUGACGUCAAGUCCUCAUGGCCCUUAUGGUAAAUACACGUCACACAAUGGUCGGACAGAGGGUCGCCAACCCGCGAGGGGGAGCCAAUCCUUGCGGAAACCCGGAUCGGGGUCUGACUGCAGUCUGCAACUCGACUGCGUGAAGUCGGAAUCGCUAGUAAUCGCGGAUCAGCAUGUCACGGUGAAUACGUUCUGGCCUUAGAAGACACCGCCCGUCACACCAUGGGAGUGGGUUUUACCAGAAGUAGUUAGCCUAACCGCAUGGAGGGCGAUUACCACGGUAGGAUUCAUGACUGGGGUGAAGUCGUAACAAGGUAAC